rnacentral:snoRNA from 1 species
ACCCUCCGAUCCCUUACCCAUAAGAUCUAGCAUUGGUCUGAGCGGCCAUGAAAGGUGGAAAAGUAAAACUGAAAUGGACUCGGAUUCUUUUGUGACAAAUAAGUUAAUUUCAAACAAAA